GUCUUUUCAUCUGGUUUCAAUAUCCACAGAUGUGAAAAAUAUAUAGACAAAACGUUUUACAUCUAGCCACAAUAUCCCCAGAUGCAAAGCUAAACGCGGUGGCAAUCCUGUAAUUAUGGUAAAAAUUGUCUAAAAUAAUUUCACAUAUGACCAUAAUAUCCCCGGAUGUAAAAAGACUUCAAGUGAUUAAUAAUUGGUCUCACAGUAACAGCUCUCUCACGAUCUCCUUCAUCUCUCAUUGCUCACUCGAACCCUAGCGACCGGCCUCAUCUCUCACGAUCGAUCUCAUCUUCUCUCUCAGAUCUCACUCGAACUCGGAGGCCUCAUCUCUCUCACGAUCGAUCUCGUCUUCUCUCUCACUGAUCUCACGUACUCGCUCAUCUAUGUCGUCUCUCUGUCUCACUGAAACAUGAAUUGAAGGCUGAAACGGAAAUUCCAAAACCCAGUUAAACACAAAUUGAAGGCUGAAACACAUCUCUGUCAUCUCUAGCUGAAACCCAGAGAAAAGGUUUAAUUGGUAGUGCAUUCGCAUCGAAGGGUUGAUUUGGUUAGGUCAAGAUGUUCACUAAAGGACCUGACAAAAACCCAUUUAGAUGGGUCAGAGAGAAUGUGAUGAUUUUGAGUUGAAUUCUGCCUAAAAAAAACUACAUUGUGUUCAUUAGAAGGAAGUGUAUUUCAUCGAGACACUUACUGGAAGACAAGGAAUGACGAGGGAUCCGGUGAUGAGGAGUGCUGCUAAUGGAAUGCAAGGUCACGGGGUGUGUUUCACUUGCUGUGUUGAUUUGAGGUAGGUGAUGAGGAGUGCUGCUAAUGGAAUGCAGAAUGAUUUCACUGAGGAUGAAUUGUCAGAUCAGAUUCUGCGGCAAGCUCAGAAUUUUCUACCACACAAGUAUGAAGUAGUAUCAAUGGUUCUCUUCCAAAAAGUAAGGCUUAUAUGUUACCAGGGGAUGCUUCUAUGUGCAAAGUUCUGCAGAAAAGGUGUUCAAUGAUCCCAUGUCAUUAACAGAGGAGGAGCUGUAUGAAUUGCGAAACAACUAGGCAACUUGUUUUCUUGACCUAUACAAUCCCGAGGUAGAUUAUGAUGUUGCCGAUGAUGAGGCUUAGGAGCUAGCUAGGUUAAUUUAUGUGAUGGAUUCAUAUUAAUUAUGAUGUUUUGAAUUGUAAUGACUUGUAUUUUGCUUGAAUGUUAUAACAUUUUGGAUGAAUGAGUUGGUAUUUUGCUUGAAUUGUAA